rnacentral:rRNA from 1 species
CAAUAGCGUAUAUUAAAGUUGUUGCAGUUAAAAAGCUCGUAGUUGGAUUUGUGGCGUACGGUGUGUUCCGGGCACUUGUUGUCUGAGUAACCUGCUGUUUCCAUCCUUGGGUGGAACCUGUGUGGCAUUAGGUUGUCGUGCAGGGGAUGCCCAUCAUUUACUGUGAAAAAAUUAGAGUGUUCAAAGCAGGCUUAUGCCGUUGAAUAUAUUAGCAUGGAAUAAUGAGAUAGGACUUUUUUGCUAUUUUGUUGGUUUGCGCAAGAAGGUAAUGAUUAAUAGGGACAGUUGGGGGUAUUCGUAUUCCAUUGUCAGAGGUGAAAUUCUUGGAUUUUUGGAAGACGAACUACUGCGAAAGCAUUUACCAAGGAUGUUUUCAUUAA